AUAAACUCGUUUUUAUAAAACGUUAUAAAAUCCUGCCAAGAUUCUCGAGUUUACGAUAUUAAUAUCGGAAGAAAAAUGAGGAGUUGCAGAGGUGUAACAACGGCUUUACGCCGACACGGAUACACGAAGAGAAUCGCAAAAGCUACUUAGAGAGGUUGGUCUUCGAAAAUAGAGACAAAAAAGAACACGGACCAUAUUGGAAGUGAGGCAUGUAUACACGUGAUACGCGAAGGAACGCUGCGUUCGCGAUUCUAGAAGGCCUUUCAAUCGAUUCAAGGACGAUCGGAGCUUGAUUCGAUCGAAUGGAAGAUAUCGCAAAGUGUCACGAAGGAGAUUGUUCAAUGCAUCACGAGGUAAAUAUAUAUUUAAAAAAAAAAAAAAAAGUUUAGUUUAAUCGUUAUUCUUGGUUCGUGCGAUUCAGAGACUUGUGGUCUCGAUGAACGCUCCAGUUUCCGGUUCGUUAAACGGUCCUCCUUUAUAUCGGGACAAGGAGCGGUUCUUCCUUCAUUUCCACGAAAUUUCCGUUAUGAUCAUUAGACAAAGAUUGAAUACGGUAAAAUGUAGUUUAUAGUCGAGUUGUUUGAAAGUUAAACUGAUUAAUUUUAACUUUGAAAAUUUGAUGGAGAUUUAUUUUUGAUAUUACUAUUGCAUUUAGCUUAUUUGAAAUUCAAUAAUUUUAUAAGAAAUUGAUAAUUCUGAGAAAAGAAUUAUGUUGGAAAAUUAUUUAUAAGAGAAUUAUUGACACGAAGAAAUUGUAGGACAAAUCGAUCGAACGAGUUUCCGGGUUAUCUAAUACGAGAAAGUCAGUCUCAGUGCUACCUUCAAUUUCUCGAUUGAGAUCUUAAUUUUCAGCGAAGCAUACUUGAUUUCAUUGUUAAUGAUUGAUCUUUAACACCAAAUUAAUCCGUGAUAUUUUUACUUUAUUCAUUUAUGCAAAAAAGGAUCCAAAUAAUCGGUGUCAAUUUAUAUUGAUUACAACGAAUUUUUGCGGAAUGAUAAUAAAAAAUUUCAUAUCCUUGAUAAUGCAUGUUAAAAUGUAUUAAUUACGCGAUAAUUUUUAGAUAUAAACAAUUAGAGUAUCUUUAGAUGUAUAUGGAAUGUAAUUAAAGUUAAAGAUUAUUUGAAAUCUAUUUUUUUUAAAUGAAAUACUUAUUUCAAAGUAAUAUUUAUAAUUGAUAUUAAAAUAUUUUAUAUU